rnacentral:rRNA from 1 species
CCUACGGGAGGCUGCAGUAGGGAAUAUUGCUCAAUGGGGGAAACCCUGAAGCAGCAACGCCGCGGGGAGGAUGAGGGUUUUCGGAUUGUAAACUCCUUUUGUUAGAGAAGAUAAUGACGGUAUCUAACGAAUAAGCACCGGCUAACUCCGUGCCAGCAGCCGCGGUAAUACGGAGGGUGCAAGCGUUACUCGGAAUCACUGGGCGUAAAGAGCGCGUAGGCGGGAUAGCAAGUCAGAUGUGAAAUCCUAUGGCUUAACCAUAGAACUGCAUUUGAAACUGUUAUUCUAGAGUAUGGGAGAGGUAGGUGGAAUUCUUGGUGUAGGGGUAAAAUCCGUAGAGAUCAAGAGGAAUACUCAUUGCGAAGGCGACCUGCUAGAGCAUAACUGACGCUGAUGCGCGAAAGCGUGGGUAGCAAACAGGAUUAGAUACCCGAGUAGUC